rnacentral:misc_RNA from 1 species
UUUCCGUAGGUGAACCUGCGGAAGGAUCAUUACAGAGUUCAUGCCCUCCGGGGUAGAUCUCCCACCCUUGUCUAUUUAUACCUCUGUUGCUUUGGCAGGCCGCGAGGUUUCGGCCCCGCUACCGGCUCCGGCUGGUACGUGUCUGCCAGAGGACCCUAAACUCUGAAUUAUUACUGUCUGAGUACUAUAUAAUAGUUAAAACUUUCAACAACGGAUCUCUUGGUUCUGGCAUCGAUAAAGAACGCAGC